rnacentral:rRNA from 1 species
UACGAAGAGGGCUAGCGUUGCUCGGAAUCACUGGGCGUAAAGGGCGCGUAGGCGGCUUUGCAAGUCGGGUGUGAAAGCCCUCAGCUCAACUGAGGAAGUGCGCCCGAAACUGCAGAGCUUGAGUGCCGGAGAGGGUGGCGGAAUUCCCCAAGUAGAGGUGAAAUUCGUAGAUAUGGGGAGGAACACCGGUGGCGAAGGCGACUACCUGGCCUGUUCUUGACGCUGAGGCGCGAAAGCUAGGGGAGCAAACGGG